GGACAUACCGGAUAUAAUAAUGAAAAUACAACACACGAGCCAACAUACACGCGUGCUCUGUUUUGGAGACCGUGGACACAAGGACAGUUGGAACAAAGGGACUCUCAUGGAUUUUACGGCAAAUCUCCAGUUGAAUUAUCAGAUGCAAAGAAGCCCAACAGAAGCCCACAUCCUGUAAAGUUAUUCUGGCCUCGAUCGCGCUGCUAUGAUUAUCUGUAUCAGGACGCCGAAGCGCUGCUUCGGAAUUAUCACGUCCAGGCGACUGUCUGUCUUUACGCAGACUCCAGCAGCGACGAGGACAGUGACGAGGAGGACGAGAAAGAAAUGUACUUGACAGAUUUAUGAAUGACAAUUAGAUGGGACAUAAUAUAUUUGGUAAUUUAUUUCGGUGCGAAAUUUGUAAAUACGUAAUUUAAUGGA